rnacentral:lncRNA from 1 species
CCCACGAGGGCACUUUCUUCUUUGGCAAGGUGAAGGUCUGCAACUCAGAAGGAAUGGAUGGACUUGCUAGGAUGACUUUGGAGGAGGUGGUUAUGUACAUUCAGAUGGCCUUGGGAAAAACAGAUGGUCAGAGCAUUAUUUUCUUGAUUCCCAUCCUGGAGAGGCCAGCUGUACUCACCACCAGUGCAUUUCCAGCAUGCAAACCAGGUGAAACACUGGAACAAACCAGGAACAAACACUGCAGUAGGAGAGGUAAACACCAGCUAAGGUCAGGUUUGUUUUGGUGCCAGAAUAAUA